ensembl:lncRNA
GCCUAACUGGAGCGCCUGGCUGAAGCCAUGUUUUCCUACACCGCUUACCCCAAUGAUGCCCAGAGAUGUGCAGUGGCAGAGGCACUAGUUGCAAAGCAUCCCUGCUUAAAGGAGCCCGGAUCUUUCAAUGGAAUUUAUGGGUGGCAGCAAAGCCUAAAGUACAAGUGUGGAAACUACCGGACAAAACGGAAAGCCCUUGGAAGCACUGAACUCCUGAUAAACUCACUGAGAAACAAGUCAAGUGAUGAGCGAAAAGCUGCUAAAAAUGUCAAGAAACCAAAGAGGGCAGAGGUGAAUUACUUGCCCUCACACCCACAUGGUGAAACAGAUGACACCCUUGAGAAUCUGAGACUUGACUUAAUUGCUGCCCCAAAGCUUGAUUACCCCAAAGCUCCUAGAGCUCUUUAGUGCCAAGGGUGGAGCAACUGGUCAACGCAUCAAAAACUUGAUGAUGGAACUGAUACAGGACCCAAGUGCCACUGCAGUGAAGAAGAGAGAUGUCACUCUGAGAUGCCUCUUUGAGUAUAUGGGAGAGAGUGGACAAGAGCUCAUCUCUGAUUACUUUGGGGCUGCAGAGACCACUGUUCAUGAGGACCUGAAAAUGAAGAAUAUGAUCAUCUAUGUCUGCCGUGAGCCAGAUGCAGUAGGAAUCAUCAUAGAGGGAAUACCAGUCCUUACCAAUCUUGGAAAUCUGGCCAAAGCAUGCUGCUUGCUGCUUGGGUUGACAUAUGCACUUAAUCUUGAGUAUCCAUCCAAGGUUUCCAAAACAUUUGAGGUGUUUCAAAGACUUUUCGUGGGACUUGACACACUGCGCCCAAAACCAAGCCCCAAGUUCAUGACUCUGAAAAACAAGCUCCUCGCCUAGGCACUCAGACAUGACUGUCACUCUGCACUUGUGAACAGCUGUUUUCUUUGUCUGUUCAACAUCAUUGUACACUGGACAUAAUGUUGAAUUUUUCAGGAUGUUCUAAUGGUUUGUUCUUGUAAUGUGUUAUACUAUGCUGCAGGUCAUUCUGGUGUGCAAAAAAGUUUAUAUUUUAUACACACAAAAUAGCCCUGCUGUGAAGCUGCACUUUAAAAACUGGUCAGUUAGUGGGAUCAGUGAGAUGUUUAACUAAAGAGGUUUCAAAAUAUUCACACACUGUGAAGGUAUUAUGCUAAGCUGCACUUUUUAAGUUGAGGUCAGAUGCUCAUGCUUGUGAUGCUCAUGCUUGUGACAUGCUGUAAUGUUAGUGUUAAAUGUUUCAAUGUUAUGUACACACUGUACUGUUAAGGUGUUUUACUAACCAGCAGUUUAUAAGCUAAGGUUAUGCUUUCUUUAAUGCAAGAACACAGAUGUUCUUGAUAGUUUAUACUGUCCAGCUCAUUGCUACUGUUUGUAUAUGGCUUGUGACAAAAGUGCCUGUUAACUUGAUAUUAAAAUGUUUUAAUAUUAUGUAUGUACACAGUAAAAAAUACUGUGAAGGUGUUCUACUAACCUGCACUUUGUAAGCUGAUGCAGAUGUUAUUGGUUGUUUACACUGUCCAGCUCAUUGCUGCUGUUUGUAUAUGGCAAUUAAUAAAUGCUGGAAAUUGACACAGUAUCUAAGCAACUAAUUAUUUGAAGCCGUUUACACUUCCAAAACAAGAAAGGGCAAACUGGUUAAAAUUAAUAAAUCAGAAGCCAUUAACCAGUAUUUUUUCAUUUAAAUGUUACCUAUUUUAAUUAAGCCUAAUGUGUGUAAUAUGCUGAUAUUUUUUACAUUGAUUGUACUCAAUUUAUUGGCUUUUUCUGAAAGUGCUACUUAAUAUUUUUACAUACAUUGAAAUGCUUAUUAUUAAGUUGGCCUUACUCAAAAUAUCAGUUAGUUCACUAAACUUGCAAAAAGUAGUUGGAAAAUGUUGUCUUAAUUUUAUUGAGUUAGAUCCAAGUAACAGUUUUAACAGUGUACAUCACUCUCAGAGCGAUUGCAUGUCUGACAGAUGACCAAGUUUACUGAGUGCCGUUAAGAGAUGGAUUCUGGGGCAGGAACCCAAUUUAUCUGCUGCUACCACUCUUCUCCCCAGGUGACAAAGGGAUAGAGGAUAAGAGAGAAAGUGAGAGGGAGUGAGAGGGAGAGAGGGAGAGAGAAAGAAAAUCAGAGUGAAAGAAGGAGGGCUGGCUGUGCUAAAAUUAGCAACAUGCUAAAGACUGGCAGGCUUGUAUCAAUCACGCAUGUCUGUAUGACAUGAAGAAAACAGGGGAAAAGAAAUAGUUAUAGAGAGAAAGAGAGAGAAGAUAUUGCCCAGCUAACAGGGAAUGUUCUCACAACAUUCAAUGUUAAGUUAUAUAAAAUGUUCUUGAAUUAAUGUUAAUGGCAUUUUCUUGUAACUUUAAAUUAUUAAUAUUUGACAUACAUUUUCACUAUGUUGAAAAAAACAAAGUUCUCAGAAAAACAUUCUCGGAACAUCCUCAUGAUGUUAUUUUGAUUCAGUUAAUGUUCUGAUGUUGAGAGUAAGCAUUCUGAGAUCAACAUUCUCAGAAUGUCCGCACUUGAAUGUUUUCAUAAUGAUGAGAGAAAACAUUCUUAGAAUAUUAAAAAUAAACUUUCAAAUAACUUUAUAAGGAAUGUUUUAAGAACCUUUCAGAAAUAUUUAAAGAGGUCAUAGGAUGUUGCUACAGUAUAAAGAACAUUAUUUUAUGUAAUGAAAUGUGUUUAUGCGGUUUAAGGUACAAUUUUUUUUUUACAAAUACUGUACAUUAUUGUUUCUCCUCUAUGACCCGCCUUUCCGAAACGCGUCAUUUUUUACAAAGCUCAUCAGUCUGGAAAGCAAGGUGUGCUCUGACUUGCCAAGUAUCCAGUGCUUUGUGAUUGGCCGAAUGCCUCAAGCGUGUGACGGAAAUGUUACGCCCCUCAUCGUACUGUGAUGAAUAUUCUCAAUUCCAGUCCUUACGCCCCCCAGCUCUGCAUAUUUUGUCUCUCUUUGUUAACACACCUGAUUCAGAUAAUCAGCUCAUUACAAGUGAGCUCCAUGCAUGAACUGUGUUCCCAUUAGGUCGCUGUGAUUUUGCCAAGUAAGACAUGUUCCUGGAUCAACAUCUUUUGAUGAUCAUGGAUCAACAUCACUGUCCAAAAAUAUAGACUUAACCCAACCCCUACCCCAAAACCUAACCCUACCCAUAAUUUUUUUCCUAAAAUCAGUGUGAAAUGAUAGCUGAUUAACAAGGAUGUAGAAGCAACUAACCCCGAUUAUAAGCCUAAAACAGAUAUUUCCUGAAAAGUUAUCCCUCAAUUCUGAUUGGUUGAUUGGAAUGUUGUUCCAGGAUCAACAAGGAUGUUGAUCCAGGAACAUGUUGUACUUGGUGAAAUCAAGGUCACCAUUCCCAUUGACAUGGCCCCUACACAGUGUUCAUUGCUCCCUACUCCCUGAGCAGGGGAAAUCUGUUGAAGUUUACUUCACUUCGGAACAUUCAUUCAUGGAUUUGCUCUGUGCAAUAUCUUCACACACGGACAAGUGUGACAUCAUAUACCUCUGUAAAUAAAUACAAUUUAAAAAAUUUUCACUUCAAACUGGAAUCAUGGAGGAAUAUCCUGAGAUGUCCACUUCGCAGGGCACUUACGUUUCAAUAGAGCAAACAUAUGAAGACAUAAGAGAAACAUACAAAAUGUGCAGAGCAGGGGGGCGCGAGGACUGGAAUUGAGAACCGCUACUCUACACUGCUCAAAACUCAUGCUUGAAUCAUCAGUGGCAAAUCCUUUACAUAUGUAAACAUACUUCCAGACUGUGAGUCAGAACAGCCGGCAUUGUAGUCUACUCUCCCAGGAUCAGGACACAGUCCUCCAUAAAAUGCGCAGCACACAUCUGAAUAUUUGGUUUGAACUGUUCUGGAACAGUGUUGUAAAUACAACUUAACCACUGAUUUCUAGUUGUGUCCUCUUUUGGAAGGCCAAACAAAGUAUUUUCGCUUUCACAAUGAAACAGCAUCUCCACAACAUUGCGGCAAUAGCGAGAAUCAAAGUUACGCCUUCUUUCUUUGCGUGAACAUUUGGGUGGUGUUAUGCAAAUCUUCCCACAUCGUGACGUAGACAUGUGGGGUCAUGUUAGAACGCGACGUUUUAGGAGGGCAUGGACACGUCUUAACUUUUAUAAAGAAUAUCUCAUUAGGCUUGUAACACUCCAGAUAGAAAAGAAAACUUGAAACCACAUCAUAUGACCCCUUUAAACAACAUUUUUA